GGCUGUAUUGUACGCGUGGCGCUAAAGUGUGGCUGCGGAGCACAGGGUAACUGCGAUAACAACAAAACCACGUGCAACUGCAACAACAACGACAGCGUGUGGCGCCAGGACAACGGCACGCUGACUGACGUCACCGCGCUUCCCGUGACGUCACUCGCGUUCGGAGACACGGACGGCGCCGAGGAGAUCGGCUAUCACUUCUUAGGGCCGCUUCGCUGCUGGCACUGAUAGCUGACAAGGUAGCUACUCGUGCUAGUACAGUGGUUCUUUUUAACAUUUUUGGCCCCACGACCCCAUCAGACAUUCUUGGUCAGUACCGUGACCCCCGAAAAAAAUUGAAGAAAAAAAGAUUUAUGGAAACAUGUCUGUCAAUACUCAGUCAAUGGGAUGGCUGAAAUUGCUUCGCAGCCAUCAGACGAUCAAAAAAAAAUUCGGGCAAGUGCUUUGGGCUUGUGGGCAACCAAAUUUGAGUCACUUGCCCGACAGGGCAAGUGAGGAAAAGAAAUUUUGUAGCACCCUCAUAAUUAUAUAGAAUUUAAAUGGAUUUGUUUCAUUUAUUACCCCUUGAUGACCCCGGAAAACCCCCCAAACGACCCCCAUGGGGGUCACGACCCCCAGGUUAAGAACCGCUGUGCUAGUGGGUCACGAUCUAUCCAUCAAAACAUGAUACCGGUAUGAAAAUGAAGACGUUGCUUCUCUGCGUGUGAUCUAUCCACGCUGUCGUUUCGACUCGUCGCCGAAAUCGAUUUUUUUAAAUGUAUAAAGACGCGUUUCUAACGUUUUAAUAACGUUAGACUGCUACGAGUUACGAUUUCAUGAUAUCGGCUAAGAAAUGCGUGUAUUUGAGGUUCGUACGAUGACUUCAGUUUCAUUCCUAACUUUAAACUUUAUAUGCGGGCAAGGCAGCGAACGGACGUCAGAACAACAUAACCACGCCUAGCUUAGAUAAAAAUUGAAUUUUGGGUGUUUGAUUUGGUAGACCAGUUCAUACGUGUUUUUGACGCGUUAACGUUGAUUUGUCGAUAUAAUGACAGUUUUAUCUAAGUGUAUAUUACUAAGAAACGUUUUUAGAACGCGGUAUCACAACUCAGAUUGGCUAGAUGUACCUGUCAAUCAUUCUAUUAAAUAGACCAAUUACAAUAAUGUAAUCCAUUUAGUUAAUACAAAUUUAAAAGCUGGAUUAAUUUGUUUUACUAAUUUCGUCUUAUUAAUUCAGUAAUACCACCGUCACUGUGAAUAUUUACAGUGUGUAUACAGUUGUUUUAUUAACACAAAAAAUGAAAUUGUGCGGUAGCAAAAAUAAAGCCAGUCGUCGCCAACGGCAUUUCGUUACUAAUUAA